rnacentral:rRNA from 1 species
UACAGAGGUCUCAAGCGUUGUUCGGAUUCAUUGGGCGUAAAGGGUGCGUAGGCGGCGCGGUAAGUCGGGUGUGAAAUCUUGGAGCUUAACUCCGAAACUGCAUUCGAUACUGCCGUGCUUGAGGACUGGAGAGGAGACUGGAAUUUACGGUGUAGCGGUGAAAUGCGUAGAUAUCGUAAGGAAGACCAGUGGCGAAAGCGACUUCCUGGACCAAUACUGACGCUCAUGUGCGAAAGCGUGGGGAGCAAACAGG